GUACAUGUUUUUAAAAAAUGACUACAUGUUUCACCUGGUCCUAUUUUUGCUAUUUGGACCAUACUUUUAAGUGAAUUGAUCUUACAUACAUGUUAAGUCUGAUUUAUCUCCCCACAUUUUUAAACACUAAAUGAAGCUUCUCACAAUUUCUAAUUAUAAACAAAAGGCUGAAAACAGUAUGGGAAACAAAGUUUCAAAACAAAGAAAAGUUGAGUAAAAGGUGCCCCCUCUAUGGCUCAUCUGAAAGAAACAUUUUACUCAGAGAGGCAAACAUUUCUGAUCUAGGAGUAAGUUUCCCACUCACUUUGCAAGGACCCACUCAUUCUGCAGAAAGACCUACAAGUCUUUCUGGUCUCAAUUGCAAAGUACGUGAAAAUGUGUAUGAAAGAUCUAAAAGCUA
rnacentral:lncRNA from 1 species